GACGAACGCUGGCGGCGUGCUUAACACAUGCAAGUCGAACGGAAAGGCCUGCUUUCCCUUGUGGAUUGCGGGUACUCGAGUGGCGAACGGGUGAGUAACACGUGAGUGAUCUGCCCCCAACUUGGGUAUAAGCCUGGGAAACUGGGUCUAAUUCCCGAUAGGACUGCAGGGUGGUGCCUGUGGUGGAAAACGAUUUUCUAGUGGUUGGGGAUGAGCUCGCGGCCUAUCAGCUUGUUGGUGGGGUAAUGGCCUACCAAGGCGGCGACGGGUAGCCGGCCUGAGAGGGUGGACGGCCACAUUGGGACUGAGAUACGGCCCAGACUCCUACGGGAGGCAGCAGUGGGGAAGAUUGCGCAAUGGGCGGAAGCCUGAGGCAGCGACGCCGCGUGGGGGAUGACGGCCUUCGGGUUGUAAACUCCUUUCGACCGCGAGGAAGCCACCUGGUUGGAAGGGUGGUGACGGUAGUGGUAGAAGAAGCACCGGCUAACUACGUG
rnacentral:rRNA from 1 species